rnacentral:snoRNA from 1 species
GCACUUCAAUUCUCAGAGACUGUGGAUUCCACCAUAGUCUACUGACUGUACUUAGUGCUAGAUAAAUUUGAUUGACCACUGAACCAUUGGUGUUGCUGUAAUUGCCUAGCAACACUUCACUGAUUUGUGGCCCACAC